rnacentral:lncRNA from 12 species
AUGGAACGUUGUAAAUGCCUGUCAGAAAUAAAAUACUGGGAAAAAAAAAAACAAAACUGUGGAGAGUGGUGUGUGGAGGCCACAUGUCCCGUGGAGGCUGUGAGAGCAGGGCUGGGAGGUGGGGAGGGUGGACCAGCGAGGAGCUCCUGCAUUCCCAGCUGCUGCAGCUCAGGCAGGAGCCCUCAGGCUGGUCACAAGGAGCCCUCACGUGAGUGUUCGGAAAAACAAGAUAAAAAGCAGAAAAUUCCAGGAUUCCAGGUGCACUGGAAGAGCUCCCCAGUCCCUCCACGGCCAGGUCUUUGA